AUUGCCCGCAUUUCCACCGCCAUUGUUCAACGCCGCUACUCCACCGUUCGCUUUGUGGCUCUUUGCGGAUAGCGAGGUCUCGUCCACCACAUCAAAUAAACUGACCUUUCUCUUCCUCUCCGCACCCAUCAAAACCCUUGCCGGCACAGAACUAUAGAAAUAGCCUUAGAAAAAGGGCUGGACUCUACCUCAAGAGAAAGAUAGGACGUGGUCGAAG
rnacentral:misc_RNA from 1 species